GUUUUCCAUCAAUUUGUAUGUUUAGUAUGUUAAGAUUAUUUGUAUUUGAUCUUUUGCCUAUAUAUAUAUAUAUAGGUAAAGAGUAUGGUACAAAUAGGGUUAUCGUACAUUAUAUACGCUAUAUUUUGAGCCAUACACGUGUCCUGAUUCAUUUCGGUUUAAUAAGGUUAAAUCAGACAAUUAACCUAAUCAUCAGAGGGCAAAUUCGUCUCUUCAUUCAUUCAGCGUGAAGUUCGUUACACUGAUAUCCCGAGUAGCACUGGACGAACAGAAGUUGAUUUUGAAGAAAAUCGACCGAUCGGUGAUCAUGCUCAAUUAUCUGCUUAUCAGAGAGUUUCGAUUGAGGAUGUUUUAAAUCCGCGACCUGCAAAUCCAAUUCCAAUUCCAAUUUCAAGUUCAAGUGCUGCAAACGAGUUUUCUAUUGAUGAAAGGGUUUACACUCCGGAGGUUCAGGCAUCAGCUACACC